rnacentral:lncRNA from 1 species
UGAAUGUAUGUCUGGCAAUUCAACCGUAAGGGGGAAGUUAGUAAGUUGUACGAUGAACAUGUGUGGAAAGUACAAACAGGAAAAGUGAAAUUGCAGCAAGUAAUAAAAUGAAGUUAAGUGCAAGCAUUUAGAUGGUGAUACAGGGGAAAUGGUACAUGUUUACAGCUCGUUGUACAUAUGUUUCAUUGACUGUAUGCUAAUCUGACAAGCAUUUAACUGUAUGCUAAUGUAACAAAUAGCUGAUCAGUUAACAAUUGCCCAUGUCAUAAUAGUUUCAGUACACUCCAUAUUUGGCUGAAACUCUUAUUGCUGGACAUGACUUCUUGCGAGUACUAUCAAGCAUCAGUGAUGAUGACUCCAUAAGUAAGUUUGUCACACAGUAAUUCAUAAUUGCGUUUUCACUUACUCUUUUUGCUAUUUGAAAUUGCAGGCCUGUAAAGGUGACAAUGUCCCAACAUGCAUGAUCCCUAAUGCUGCCAUGUGCUCGCCCUUCCACAUCUGCCCAUGUUAUCUUUCUUCCUAUGAUUAAAGCCGAAGCUUAUCUAUUUCUCACAUUCAAACCAAUGCUGUCAAAGGAACUCCACCAACUAGGAUACUUAUACACAUUCUAUAUGCUCUAUAUUUACUGUUAUUUCACAAUAUAACCUACUUCAACUGUGUUUUGAUAAGCAUUCAUUACUUUAUGGGACAUGUUUCAAUGUUAUGGAUGUACGACAAUUAUGUGUUUUGAACUCCUGUUGUAUAUUUCUUAUGUCGACAUUGCAGCUUGGAUUUUUGAAUCCACCUUUAUACGUAUGCAGUUCCAGUAUCUUCUCACUGUUACAGUUAUGUUUGCCGUCUAUUAAUUAAACCUGCUUGUCCAUCUCUUCCCUUGCAUUUACUUGUGCAUCACCAUUUACUUCAUUUACACCCAUUACCAAAUCAAACUGGAUUUGGAAGCAUCUCUUCAUUUGGUUAACUAUUCUUCUUUAUAUCCAUUUUAUGCCAACUAAGGCUAUUAUUUAAUCAACUAACAAAUUACAAAUAUCUUGGCCAUAUGAUCAUUCUCCUUUUAUUCAACCACCCAAUGUUUAGAGACAUUUAAGUAUUUCAAGCCCAGCCAUUGGUGAUACUAAUGUAACAACACAUGCGUUGAUUUUUCAGCUACCAUCAAUUUCAUAUGUGCAGUUUGCCGAACUCAUUUUCCCAUUUUGAUACAUUUUCGUACUUGCUCCAUGCUUUAUUCCAAUUCUGCUUGUCAUUCAAAUCCUAACCAAAAUCAUUUUAAAUCAAUUACCAAUCCAUAAUUUUUGUUUCUCUCCACUCCACAAUUUGUUGUCUUACCUAUCUAAGUUACUGUUAAUGCAGCUAUAUUUUGCUUCCCACUUAAUUCAUUUAACUCUUUCCUAUUUCUUUUAAGAGGAACAAAUAAAAUACUUCAUAUCCUUUCACUAUUACAACUGCUCAAUAUUUUAUGCCUCCUACAACAAUGAAACUGUUACUAAUCUACAUAUUAUUGUCCCUCGACAAAGUAUUUGCUUAUACAUUUAUUUGUGCCAGCUAACAUGUUUAUUGUUAUGGAAACCAACAUCUUCUUGUUUUCUUAAACAAUAUAUUAGCAGUGUCAACAGUUCCAGUCUAAUUACCUGCACUCUCGGUUUGGUUCAUCUGCAACGUGGCGUUUUCAGCAUUGCACAUUCUUCACCCUUUUCAUCUAACGAUGACUUCACUACAAGACGAAAUGUGGGGGCACGGUGCCCUGGGGGCUGAUAAUUAAUGGAAGAUUGUCAGUUUUCCUUUUAUUAAAAUUAAUAUAUACUACUCACUCCCUACUAUUUUUAUAAUAACUAAUAGCCUCUUUGGCAGCAUAAUUCUGUAGUAUUACCUU